CGCCAAAACUUGGGGGACAUUAUAGCCUUUCCUUAGUGAUCCAGUCAUUUUGAAUACAGGGAAAGAACAAAACAGUCUCCACCACUCUCCGCGGGAACACGCCACACUCGGCCCGGUAAUCGCACACCGCUGGGAAACGCAACCCACCAACAAACACACCUACUUCCAGCAGGAGUCAGCCCUCCGAACCCGGAAGUGAAUGGGAGAAGGCACGCAGCAUUCUGGGAAGAUUUAAAGGAGCCGGGUUGGUGUGGCUGGCUGUUACCGGGGCAACCAGAGGCGCUUGGCGGUUAUCCGUGGUUUGGCGCCGUUAGCUGGACAGUCUGAGACGCUCAGAGGCCAUGUGGGAUGAGCGAAGAGGGAAGAAGGGCCCUUUCAGGAGACAGUUGUCCUGUCAGGUUAUCUAGUCGUGCCCUAGGCGGGAGCGCCAGCUCUGAGAAUCUGGGUCACGACCCCCUCCUUCUUUCAGCCUUUCGGCCAAAUGAAGUAGCCCAGCGGCUCCUGUCAUUUCUUUACUUUACUUUUCUGCCUCCUCUCAGAAAAUCAACAAAGACAGCAUUGAAGACCUUAAUGUAAAUCAUCUGUAAUGAGUUGAAGAAACAGGGAUGAAGUGGACGCAGCAUGUGAAGACAAUUCUUUCAAGAAGUUUGGCUGUAAAGGAGAAGAGAAAGGGGACACGGGUUCGAGCCCUAAUCCGGGAAGAUCCCACAUCCGCGGAGCAACUAAGCCCGUGCACCAUAACUACUGAGCCUACGCUCUACAGCCUGCGAGCCACAACUACUGAGCCCAUGUGCCACAACUACUGAAGCCCUCAUGCCUAGAGCCCGUGAUUUGCAACAAGAGAAGCCACCGCAAUGAGAAGCCCACACACCGCAAUGAAGAGCAGCCCCCGCUCGCUUCAACUAGAGAAAGCCCACACGCAGCAACGAAGACCCAAC